rnacentral:rRNA from 1 species
GGAUAACAGGCUUAUCUCCCCCAAGAGUUCACAUCGACGGGGAGGUUUGGCACCUCGAUGUCGGCUCAUCGCAUCCUGGGGCUGUAGUCGGUCCCAAGGGUUGGGCUGUUCGCCCAUUAAAGCGGUACGCGAGCUGGGUUCAGAACGUCGUGAGACAGUUCGGUCCCUAUCCGUCGUGGGCGUAGGAAAUUUGAGAGGAGCUGUCCUUAGUACGAGAGGACCGGGAUGGACAUACCUCUGGUGUACCAGUUGUCGUGCCAACGGCAUAGCUGGGUAGCUAUGUGUGGACGGGAUAAGUGCUGAAAGCAUCUAAGCAUGAAGCCCCCCUCAAGAUGAGAUUUCCCAACUUCGGUUAUAAGAUCCCUCAAAGAUGAUGAGGUUAAUAGGUUCGAGGUGGAAGCAUGGUGACAUGUGGAGCUGACGAAUACUAAUCGAUCGAAGACUUAAUCAA